GCCAUGGUGAAAUUGGUAGACACGCUGCUCUUAGGAAGCAGUGCUAAUGCAUCUCGGUUCGAAUCCGAGUGGCGGCA
rnacentral:tRNA from 1 species